rnacentral:rRNA from 1 species
AUUGAACGCUGGCGGCAGGCCUAACACAUGCAAGUCGAGCGGAUGAAGGGAGCUUGCUCCUGGAUUCAGCGGCGGACGGGUGAGUAAUGCCUAGGAAUCUGCCUGGUAGUGGGGGAUAACGUCCGGAAACGGGCGCUAAUACCGCAUACGUCCUGAGGGAGAAAGUGGGGGAUCUUCGGACCUCACGCUAUCAGAUGAGCCUAGGUCGGAUUAGCUAGUUGGUGGGGUAAAGGCCUACCAAGGCGACGAUCCGUAACUGGUCUGAGAGGAUGAUCAGUCACACUGGAACUGAGACACGGUCCAGACUCCUACGGGAGGCAGCAGUGGGGAAUAUUGGACAAAGGGCGAAAGCCUGAUCCAGCCAUGCCGCGUGUGUGAAGAAGGUCUUCGGAUUGUAAAGCACUUUGAGUUGGGAGGAAGGGCAGUAAGUUAAUACCUUGCUGUUUUGACGUUACCAACAGAAUAAGCACCGGCUAACUUCGUG